UACGAAGGGGGCUAGCGUUGCUCGGAAUCACUGGGCGUAAAGCGCACGUAGGCGGCUUCUUAAGUCAGGGGUGAAAUCCUGGAGCUCAACUCCAGAACUGCCCUUGAUACUGAGGAGCUCGAGUCCGGAAGAGGUGAGUGGAACUCCGAGUGUAGAGGUGAAAUUCGUAGAUAUUCGGAAGAACACCAGUGGCGAAGGCGGCUCACUGGUCCGGUACUGACGCUGAGGUGCGAAAGCGUGGGGAGCAAACGGG
rnacentral:rRNA from 1 species